rnacentral:rRNA from 1 species
UACGUAGGGACCAAGCGUUGUUCGGAUUUACUGGGCGUAAAGGGCGCGUAGGCGGCGUGGUAAGUCACUUGUGAAACCUCUGAGCUCAACUCAGAACGGCCAAGUGAUACUGCUGUGCUAGAGUGCAGAAGGGGCAAUCGGAAUUCUUGGUGUAGCGGUGAAAUGCGUAGAUAUCAAGAGGAACACCUGAGGUGAAGACGGGUUGCUGGGCUGACACUGACGCUGAGGCGCGAAAGCGUGGGUAGCAAACAGG